GAUGAACGCUAGCGGCAGGCCUAAUACAUGCAAGUCGAACGAGAUUAAGGAGCUUGCUCCUUAUGAAAGUGGCGCACGGGUGCGUAACGCGUAUGCAACCUACCUUAAUCAGGGGGAUAGCCCGAAGAAAUUCGGAUUAACACCGCAUAAAAACACAGGAUAGCAUUAUCCAAUGUUCAAAUAUUUAUAGGAUUAAGAUGGGCAUGCGUGUCAUUAGCUAGUUGGCGGGGUAACGGCCCACCAAGGCGACGAUGACUAGGGGAUCUGAGAGGAUCACCCCCCACACUGGUACUGAGACACGGACCAGACUCCUACGGGAGGCAGCAGUAAGGAAUAUUGGUCAAUGGAGGCAACUCUGAACCAGCCAUGCCGCGUGCAGGAAGACUGCCCUAUGGGUUGUAAACUGCUUUUAUCCGGGAAUAAACCUAAUUACGUGUAAUUAGCUGAAUGUACCGGAAGAAUAAGGAUCGGCUAACUCCGUGCCAGCAGCCGCAGUAACAC
rnacentral:rRNA from 1 species